UACGUAGGGGGCGAGCGUUGUCCGGAUUUAUUGGGCGUAAAGAGCUCGUAGGCGGUUUGGCAAGUCGGGUGUGAAAACUCCGGGCUCAACUCGGAGACGCCACUCGAUACUGCUAUGACUCGAGUCCGGUAGGGGAGUGCGGAAUUCCUGGUGUAGCGGUGAAAUGCGCAGAUAUCAGGAAGAACACCCGUGGCUAAGGCGGCUCUCUAGUACGGUACUGACGCUGAGACGCGAAAGCGUGGGGAGCGAACAGG
rnacentral:rRNA from 1 species